rnacentral:lncRNA from 1 species
UGCAUUUCUACCAUAUGAGAUAUAUACCCUUUGCAUUGCCACCAACAAUUGUACCGCCAAAGAAACGAGAACAAAUGUUUAUUCAUAACAAAUCAUAACUAUGUUGCUGGAGAAACAAGAACGAAAAAUGCUGCGAAAAACGGCAACAUGUUCUACUACUCCGGCUGCGCUACAAAGAAUCUCACAAUUAAAUACAGGCCCCGAUCAAGAGUUCUGUCUAUUUCGAGCCGUCUAGUCAAACAACAAGGUGAAAAAAAGGAGCAACAAGGCGGGAAAAAAAGGAACAGCAGACGGUAUAUUUCGAAAAAUUGGCAAUACAACAACACUUCUCUUCUCUUUCUACGGAGCCUCGGGGCGCCAUCUCUUUCAGCAAAGUCUAGCGACUCGGUCUGGCGGGCUUGUCCCAAGGCUUGGAUUUGUAGGAAUUCUGUUUCGUCUUACGCGCUGACACGUAGUUGGCCUCCGCCUGGAAGGGGUUCAUGCCGUCAUCGUCGUCGUCUUCCCUCGCUUUCCUGACCUUCUUUGCCUUUCCACGGUCGUACUCCUCAUCCCUGGAAAGCAAAUAACCAAAUGGAUAGUAAGUUCAGGUCACUUGAAGCAGUUGCAACCCGGCCAGAAAUAACCAGGGUUCAGAAUCAGUUAAGAGACUGAACCCAGGCGCGAAAUAACUCACCACUCAUCCAGCACAUAACCAAUGCUCUUCUUCCCUGAACUUUUGUACUCUCUAGUCUCACUGCUUGGCACGGCAACAUCAUCCCAGCAUGGAACUGCAUACCAAGGAAGGAACAUAUUUACAGAUUAAAACUGCAAGAAAAGCAAGAGUAUUUGUAACACAUAGUGAGUGUGUAUCUGCAAAGAGAAAUGCUCACCAGUAACUUCAGCCCUCAAGUCCUCUGUGCGAAUAACGACUUGUUGGGAGGCGGCUCCCCUCUUUGCAUCUACGUUGUUUCUUGAAUGUGCUUGAUCUGUAGAAGAGAUUGAACCCAACUUUGGAGGCUCCGCGCUAGCAGAAGUUCCACUCUUUCUGUUCCUGGUGUUCAUGUUAUCAUCACCGGCACCAGCACUACUUGCUCCAACAGCCUGCUGCCUGUCUUUGAGCGCUUGGGUGUUGUUUUCAGAACUUACACUGGCAUGGGAAUAUUUCCGUUUACGAGAUGUAGAUUCUGCUGUUUUGGGCGGCACAGUUGCUGAUGUUGAUGUUUGCUGCUCACUGCUGUUGUCACCAGAACAAUCAACACUGGCCGUGUCCUUAACACGCUUUUUGGUUUUCUUAUGCUUCUUCUUUUGUUGCUUAAGUGAUAAUUGUCUUGGCCGAAGCCACAACUUCAUUACUGGAUAUCUCACAAGUUUCUUUGACUUCGAGUCCACCCUUUUAGUCAUUCUGCCAUUACAUGAAUCGCCUGGAACCACCUUCGUGGAAACUUGCGAGGAGAUCUGUUUUCCAACAUCAACUUGUUCAAGUCCUGGUAGUAUGGUUUUCUCCUUCUGCAUAAAUGUACAAGCAGAACAUAUUACAACUGUCGACUCACAUUAAGCAAAAUGAUGAAGCUUAGAUUUUAUUUGUGCGCAAGGGAGAAGCAUAGUCACGAUUUUACUGGUUCAAAUGGGUAACGAGUAAACACUUCUCUAACAAGGGAGAGAACAGGGUGGCUGUUGGCCAUUAGCAUACCUUGCUCGUCGUCAAAGCCUUCACUAUGUGGUCAUCUUGCUUGAGAGAUCCUGUUAAGUCCUUCAUUUUCUCACUGGAAACUGGACCUCCACCGCUAGUGCUAGGGAUGACACCAUUUGAAACAACAGCAUCCUACCAAGUUGCAUAAGACAAGGUAAGUAAUGAAGUGCUGGAAAUGGAGACAAAAACUAGCAGUGACCAUCAAAAGGAUACCUUAGUUUGGAAAGUUUGCACGGUAAACCCGGUAAUCGUGCCAACCAAGUUCGAGCUUGGCUUGGAACAUGUUUGAGAGCAAGAAGUUAGUUUAUCUGUCUCUGACAGUCCAGCGGGACCACUGACCAUAGAUGAGGCAAUAGAAGUAUUAUUUCCCAGCUUGGCAAAUGCACCACCAGCCUUUGGUCCCUGCAAUGACAUCUUAGCCAUUGUCUGAUUGCUGCUCGCCGGUUGACCUGAUGAAGAUGUCUCUUUAUGACUACUUGAAGCAACUUGCUUUGAUUUAGUUGACAAUGUAGCACCAUCAUUUUGAGAUCCAAGGGCUUUCUGUGCGGCAGGCAGGACACUGUUUUGAGGGGCUGCAGCAAUUUCAGCUUUGCCAUCAUUUGUUGAACAAUGGUCUACUAAAGUCAUACUGCUAACGCCGGAAUGGGCAUUGCUAGUACUCUGCAACUUCUUAUUUGCAUAAGGAGAUGUCAGACCACUCGAUUUUGCUUCCAUUACACCACUUCCGAUUACACCAUUGAUAGAUGAAAUCUUCCCAGGGAUCAUUUUGUUUACAGGCAGAUUAGGAGUGCGGUUGUCUUUGCGCCCCAUUGUGUUCCCAAUUCUGUCACGUACAUAAAAUAACAUAUAGGCUUUCUGUUUCAGUACGUCUGCCUCGCGAACUUGGCGUACCUGAAAUUGAUGGCCUUAGGAAUCAGUACGGCAAAAAUAAAAGCUGCAAAAAUAACCAAAGGCGAGAACUGGAAUUCAACAGGCAAUAUGGCUCAGGAUUUGGUUUUGCUUCCUUUCUAGUCAUAAACAGAACCCAAACCAUACUUCUUAUAUUUGAAAUCUAGCUAAAGGAUUCUCCCCGAACAAGAUGAGUACAAUGUACAGUAGUAACUUAUCAAAUGCUAUAUUCAGCAUAUACUAAAACAGGAUAAUACAUCACUGAUUAGAACAAGUAAAAAGGUCGAUGCAUUGUGAUUUGUGACCACCGAGCUCUGAACGCUGUAAAAUUAAGGAUGCCAUAACAUUAUAAAAAUAAGAUAUGUUGUAUCUACACUCUACCAUGUGAUACAAUGCAAGCUAUUGAAAAGACAAGGUAACACUGGUAGCAAAGGUCUUCAACAAAUCGAUGAGGCGGCAAGGCUCUGCUAUGAUGAUUUACUUAAAAGGAAAAAACAAUAGUUUCGGAAUAAUAUUUCCAUCAAUGGUACAGACCUGAUUAUCGUCAAGAUUGUGCCACAUCCCACUGGAAGUCCGAACAAAGCAAUAAUAAUGACCAGAUUGAGUGCUCCAACCAGCAUGAACCAAGACACCAUAAAGACUGUAUUUGUAAUCUGUGCCCUACACAUGAUCAUAGCAAAAUACUGAAUAUAAGCUAAUUCAGGGAAAAUCAAGGUAAAUUUCAAAGGUUCAGAACUAAUAACUCACUUUAGAAUCACUCAUAAAUGGUUUCAAGUCUAGAACAGGUUGAAAAUCCACUUUUUUGUCAAUCUUUUCACGGGGACGGAAAGGGCUAAAGCGCUUCAGAUGAACUGUCAAAACAUUUGGAGCCGUAUCAAUUGUAAACCUUUUCUUUGCUACAACUUUCUGCCUGCAGCGCUCGCACUGAUACUGCUUUUGACCACCAUCGAGUAGUUCAUCCUCGGUAAAAUUUUGAAGUGCUCUCACCAAAGUUGUGGCCUUGCCAAUAUCAAGACUAAGAUCCAAGAAAGGAUCAAAUGUGUUGGAACAAUGCGAGCACCUUGUGCAUUUCACCUGGAACAAAUAUAUGCAGCAAAGCAGUGAUGACAACAGAAAUGGGUUUUCCCAAGAAAUUGCUAGUACAAAAGUAAGAAUGCACAUGAUGUACCUGACUUCUUAGGCGGCCACCAAAUAUUCUGUGAACUAAGCUCUUCUCAUAAGCACUUGCAGACUCGCUCGGUACUCCAGAAGGUAAACAGCAUUUAUGCAUGGAUUCAAGCAAGUUAACCAUUAACUCAUGAGCAUCCUCCUGCCUUGAAUUACGGAAGCUACGAGAAAUGCCUAUUUGCGGUCAAAGAUUUACAUUUUGACGCUCGAUAAAGAAUAGACAGGAGAAUUUCAAGUUAAAACUAAAAGAGGAAAUCAAUUAGGCUACAGCAUAUGGAAGGAUACAGCGCAAGUUCUUGACAAUUUGUGAUGGUGUCACUAUUUUUCCAGUUGACUGUAGCGCGGUCUUAACAUGGUUCUGAAGAGCACACAAUGCACAGAAUCCAGCAGUACGACCUAAAAAUGGUGGGAAAAAAGGAAUUAGUAACGGCUGUAUGAGAAAUGCCUCGCAGGGGCAAAAAGCUGAAAACAGGGAGUAUUAUAACAUACAUAUAGUGAUUAACAAACUACUUUGUAGGUAGGGUAUGAAAUUACUGUUAGCUACAACAGAAGAAUAGAAGAAAUGCAGAAUAGCUAGUGGCAGGGGUUUAGUUGAUUCACAGAUCAGCAAAUGUUGUAUUACUAAUGGAAGUUUGAAGUUUCAACUAUCGAGGCACAGUUACGUGAAUUCUGUGUGCUAUCUAAUUGGGUAACAAUGAGUCCAUAAAUGGAGAGGCUUCCAUUUUCAGUUAUUAAUGUAAAGCAGCCCUGGUGACAAAAAUGCCAUUUGGGGUGGGUUUUGGAGUGCCGAGUUGGCAGUAUCAGCUUCUUUCAGUACAUGGAUAAAACCGUUAAAAAUGUGUGCCAUUAUUAUCCCACAUUCCCACUGGCUAACUACACCUCCCUUAUUAUAGAAAAACGAUGUCUACAGUAACCUUGAAGCCACUCCUAGCAGACAUAUCAUACAAGUGAAUGCAUCCUUGUCAACAAUUUGGCAGUUGCCCAAAUUCGUCCCUAGGUAAAAAUUGCACAAAGCUAAUCCUACUGGUGGCAGCUGCUGCACAUGGACAUCCAUUCCCUAGUUAACUUGACAGAAACACGGUCCACUUUAUUCUCAUUUCUUGCCACUCAAUAUGAUUUUGAUCAGACACGCAACAUUUUAGAAUUUCCAUGGGCCAUUUGAGCAACCCUCAAGUUCUGUGACCUAGAUUUACCACCUCACAAGACGUUGCAUAUGUAGUGCAAUUUACUCCCUCGUUGAAAAUAUAAGGCAAGUUUUGGUAUAGCACAGGGAUUAAGGAAGUCAUGCACCAGAAGGAUACAAGAGUGAAAUGACCAGGAUAUCCAUGGUGUUAGUGUAUUCAAAAUAAGGUAAUCAUAGAUCAGAGUGAUAGAUUAAUCUGGUUGUUUAUAAAUUAUAAUAAAGGUUUAAAAGAGGGUGAAAUUAGAUAAGCGCAAAUGAAAGGAAUGUCAUCAAAUGUAAUUGUAGCUUUACAUCUUUCAAACAGACAAUGCUGAUUGUAGCUUCACAUCUUUCAAAUAGAGGGAGUACUCUACUAUUCAUGAUACAGUGCAAACCACAUCCCCAACAUCGAAAUGGAAGCAUCGUACUUGAUAAAGUACCAAGUUUACAUAAAGAUAAUAGGUGAUAAUUGAACACAGAAGGCAAGAAGACAAGAAUAAUUCUGAAUCGCGGUUAUUCGAUGCAGUGAUAAGAUUGUAUUAACAACUGACUUGGUACCUGUUCCAUCAGGUGUGACUCAAAGCAUCAGUAGGGAUAACCAAUUCAUAUAUAUCAGCCAACCGUUCUCAUCCACAUAAUCCUCUAACAAAAUAGAAUGACAAACUUUUACACGACUUCUCCAGUGGAUGAUAAACGGUUGACUGAUCAAACUUUGAGAUGCGAUUGCACAUGUUCGAUUCGAACGUGAUUCAAGCUGGAGCAGUUGGUGAAAACUUGCCAAUGGCGUGUACGUAAUACCCUUGAGGCUUGAGAAUGCAAGUAUGGUUGUCUUUGGGAGUGAUGAUACUCGUAUUCAAGCAGUGGCAUGGGCAUUGAUACAGCAUAGAACCCAGCCGUAUACCUUUUACAAGGAUUAUACUACUUUAGAAUGUGCAAUAAUAUGCAGAUCAAAUACUGCUAGCUUGGAAAUCCACAAGCCUGAUGCAACACUGUCAAAUCACUUAUCGUGUCGCUAAGCCAGUGGACAGUUGCAAGUUCCAACAGCACUUACAUGAAGACUUGUGCCUUCCACUCUGCAAGUAGGCUGCGAACGGCUCCGUGUACGUCAAGCAUUGCAGAACCGAGUUGAGGUAGCAAGUGUUCCCAAGAUUUUGCAGACCAGCACCCUGCAAAAUGCAGUCCAAUUUCAGCGCUCAAAAGGGCAUCACAAGUUGAAUGUCAUUACCCACCAUACAAAAACCCCAAGAAAUGGCAAUUCUGUGAAGCAAAUUCUGCGCAUCUUUUACUAACUACUCCGUACGAGCCUGAAAUCACAGUGUUAUGUUAUAAACCCGAAUUGACAACUCCGGCGUCCAAACACCAUACAUAGCAGCUCUAUCGCCCCAAAAUCACACAGCUUUAAGAGCACAAACCCCCGAAUCAGAGCUGCAAAUUUGCGUUACUCACAAUUCUCCCGAGGUAGAUCCUGGCAACGGUGAGCUCCGGAUCCAAGCCCAGAGCCUCGGCCUUCUCCGGCCUCCGCGCCUCCGCCUCGCCCCUGGCCGCUCCCACCGCCGCCGAGGACGCACCGCCCGCGGCGUCCGGGUUGAGGGUCUCCAUCUGGAACCCGCCUCCCCCGACGGCCGCCGCGGAGUGCGGCCUCCGGGCGAGGUGGAACUCUAUCCUCCUGUGCAGGACGCCCUCCGGCACCAGCGCCGCCGCCGCGGACACCUCCGCCAUCCCCACUAGGGUUUCGACGUCGCGCCGGAGCGGCAGCCGAGCAGCAGCGCUGUGGGAUCCGGAGGGAGAAGGAUCGCGGCUCCUCCGAUUUCUCGAGGUAUUCUUGCGGAUUGAAAUCCGGGGCUUCGAUCGAUAGGUGGGCGGGCGGAAAUUGGUGUGGUGCUCUGUGUUCUUCCUUUUUUUUUUUGGUUUUUUCUUGUCCAGCCGCCGUUCUUGCCGCGGGGACGGAAGAGAGGGAGUGAGGGAGGUGCGAGGCGGGGCUAUAAACCCUAUACCCCUGGCGAAUGGACGGCUGGGAUUGGUGGGAUGGGGGCCGAGCGGGUGGUCUGGAGUGUUGGAUCCUGGUGCACGUGCUUUGCUCGGCCGGUGGGGCUAGAGGAAGAGAAGGAGGAGGAGAGCUGCUGCUAGAAAGGUGGCUACAUGGGCUUUGGAAGCUUCUCACACAACCGUGUGAGCUUUUUAGCUUUGAGCUCUUCGGCCUUUUCGUGGUGGAGACAUUAUACUCCCUCCGUUCCAUAAUACAAGAACAUUUUUUACAUUAAGUGUCAAAAAUAUUCUUAUAUUAUGGGACGGAGGGAGUAUAUGGUACCAAAAUAGAUUUGUUAUCACUAAAAAAACAGAUUUUGUUACCCUAAAAAGAAGAUCUUGUUCAUUCGCCGACUGCAUUGAUCAAGCGGUUACUUGUUUGACUAAUUGGAGCUCCUUUCAUUUAAAUGACUUACAUGGGAAUUUCAUAAUGAUUAGAAACUUUUCCGUUCGUCGGUGCCUCUUUGGUUUGUACCCCAGAAGAAGAAAAAACUCGUUAUGGUACUUCAUGUGUAUACAGGACCUUUAUAAAACACAAGGUCCAAGUGUGUACAACCCACAUGUUAUGCCAGUAAAGCCAAUAUCAAUGCAAAAGUCCUCUUCUCUUUCUUUUUUGCCUCAUUAGUUUUGAGUAGAUGUAUGGAUAACAUUUUUCUAAAUAUACACAUGCUUUAAAGAGCUUAGUAUUGUGCGUUUUAGGUGGCCAAUCUUAUUUAUUCGGUUGAAUCGUGAAAUAUAGUGAACUUUGAUGUCGUAGUGAAAAUAUCCUUGUGCAGAUUGAAGAGCAUGAGCGAGGGAUAAUUACAACCUGGAUGUGUUGCAUCUGUGUUAGUCGGACAAUAGAGCGGGAUGGAGAGAGACUCCUUACUCAUAGACAUAUAGUACUCCCAUGUCCUUCGUCCCAUCUAGAAGACACUUGUUGGGGAUAUAGCUACUAGGUAUGACCCGCCCAGGAGGGGUCGGGUUAUACCUAUGGCGAUUCAUAAUAUAAAUCCCAAGACGACACUGGAAGAUGGCGGUUCAGUUAAGGGCCCAAGGCCCAAAGGCGGCUUAAGGCACGUAGGGAUAAACCGUCGUAUGUGUAUGACUUGUAUUGUAAGGCAGGAAUAGAUAGUCACCGAGCCGGACACUGUUUAUGAGCCGGCCGGGACUCUAUGAGCCGAUGGGCGUCGACCUCUGUAUAUAAAGGGACGACCCGACGGCGGUUUAGGACAAGUAACAUCAUAUCGAGAACUAGGUCAAGCGGAUUCACUCCCUGGUAAUCGAGAGAUAAGCAAUCCCACCUCAAACUGGAUUAGGCCUUUACCUUCACCGCAAGGGGCCGAACCAGUAUAAACUCCUGUGUCCUUUGUCCUGUUUUAACCCCUUUAAGCUUCCUAGUUGCGAUGGCUCCACGACUAAGUCCUUUUGCUAGGACAUCUGCCAUGACCUUUCCACGACAGUUGGCGCCCACCAUGGGGCCAGCGCACGAUGUAUUUGAGUUCUUGCAGGGCAGCUUGGAAUGGCUCAAGGGAUACGUUAUGGGCCGGAUGACCAAGAGUCGUUGCGGCUGAAAGGAUCGAUAUAGUUGACUAGAGGGGGGGUGAAUAGGCAACUAACAAUUUUUAGCUUUUCUUUACCAAAUUAAAGUUUGCAUCAAAGUAGGUUGUCUAAAUAUGCAACUAGGUGAACAACCUAUAUGAUGCAACAACAAUAAGUGCACAAGCAAGCAGGGGAUACAACACAAAAAGCUAGCACAAGUAAAGGCACGAGAUAACCAAGAGUGGAGACGAUGGAGACGAGGAUGUGUUACCAAAAUUCCUUCCUUUUGAGAGGAAGUACGUCUCCGUUAGAGCGGUGUGGAGGGACAAUGCUCCCCAAGAAGCCACUAGGGCCACCGUAUUCUCCUCACGCCCUCACAUAAUGCGAGAUGUCGUGAUUCCACUAUUGGUGCCCUUGAAGGCGGCGACCGAACCUUUACAAACAAGGUUGGCGCUAUCUCCACAACUUAAUUGGAGGCUCCCAGCGACACCAUGAAGCUUCACCACAAUGGACUAUGGCUCCGAGGUGACCUCAACCGUCUAGGGUGCUCAAACACCCAAGAGUAACAAGAUCCGCUGGGGAUUAGUGGGGGAAUCAAAUUUCUCUUGGUGGAAGUGUAGAUCGGGGCCUUCUCAACCUAUCCCAAGCAAAUCAACAAGUUUGAUUGGCUAGGGAGAGAGAUCGGGCAAAAAUGAAGCUUGGAGCAACAAUGGAGCUUUUGGGGGAGAGGUAGGUCAACUUUGGGGAAGAAGACCCCUUUAUAUAGUGGGGGGAACAAUCCAACCGUUACCCCACCAAGCAGCCCCGCAGAGAGCGGUACUACCGCUUGGGUGGGCGGUACUACCGCUGAGCCAGCGGUACUACCGUGCCACCUAGCGGUACUGCCGCACACAUGAGGGGAGAAAGGUCCUGGACCCAGAGCGGUACUACCAUGGUGGUAAAGGCGGUACUACCGCUCAAGAGCGGUACUACCGCCACAACUGCCGCAGCUAGUGCCACAGAACCCGACACGAGAAAACGAGGCCUCGAGUCGAGGCGGUAGUAGCCCGGAGCCACAGCGGUACUACGGUGGAAGAUAGCAAGCGGUACUACUAUUGAAGGAGCGGUACUACCGCUUGUUGUGCUUCGGUGGUACUACCGUUGUGGCCCACGGUACUACCGCUGGGACUAGACAGGGCAAGCCAGGAAGGGAAGGAAAACUCCAUUGAAGCGGGAAGGAUCAGCGGGUGCGAUAAGGAUGUGUACGUGUUGAUUCCACCCUAGCCUUACCAAAGCUGAUCCCCUCUUUAUAGUAUGGUGACUCCUACGAAACUAGUCCACCAACAGAGAAACGAAGGAGAUGCACCGUCUUGAAUAAAACACCGAGGGGAGGGAAUCGUCUCGUGCCAAAGGAUGAAUCUCUGAAAAUCUCAACGCACACGAUUAGUCCGCAAAAGCAUUGUCAUCAAUCACCAAAACACCUUGGGGAUAAAUAUGUCCUUACAAUCUCCCCCUUUUUGGUGGAUUGAUGACAAUACGGGAUUUGCAUAAACGGGAAAAGACAUAGGGCAUGCGCAAUCCCCACAACUCUAAAAUGUAGAUGGGCUCCCCCUAGAUGUGUGCUAUCUAGAUAAGUGCUUUGGACUGCACGGCACACAUACUAGGAUCAACGCUCCCCCUACAUUUUAUAGACCAACAACCUAAGCAGGAUAUAUGAGAGCAAAGUAUAUAACAGGGUAAGCAUGCAACUCAUAAGAUACCGAAGGACUAGAUAGACAUAGAUAAGGAUAAUAUAAAGAUAGGGUAGCAUAUGUCUCACACCAUAUGUCUGGAACUUAGGUCUCACUGGCACAAAACCAAGCAAAGCAAACGGCGGGAAAACACACCACAAACAAGACACACUCGCAAAACAGACAGACAACGACAACAACGACACAAAUACCUAAACUCUCUCCCCCUUUGGCAUCGAGACACCAAAAAGAGAAAGAGUGUUGCUGAAAGCACAAGUGCUCCCUAGGUGGUUUUGGUAAUUAAUGUCAACAUAUCUCUUGUUGGACUAACACUUUUAUCUAGUAUGUUUCAGAUAAGUUCAACAAUGGAGUGGCAUGGACUAAAGGAUGUGGGAACUCCUUCAAGAUGCUAAGGACAAAGGAUUGGCUCAAGCUUCAAGCUCAAGACUCUUCAUUUUACAUUUUAGUGAUCCAAGAUCACAUUGAGUCUAUAGGAAAAGCCAAUACUAUCAAGGAGGGAUGAGGUGUUGCUUAAUGAGCCUCUUGCUUCAAAGUGCUUAGUGAUAUGCUCCAAAUACCCUCAACUACUUUCCCACUUCCACACAUAUGUCCUAAACCUAAAGUCAAACUCGGCCCCACUGAUUCUUUCUAUCCGGCGCCACUGAGUUUGGAUGUCUUAGCCACUGCCACAAACCAUAGGCAAAUCGGUCUCACCGAUAGGGAUCUCGGUUUCACCGAGAUGGGAUUGUAAUCUCUCUGUGUAUGUCCAUUAUCAAAAUCGGUCUCACCGAGUUUGAGCAAUCGGUACUACCGAGAUUACAAUGCAAACUUCCUGGUUGACUCAUUACCAAAAUAGGUCCCACCGAGUUUGAUAAUCGGUCCAACCGAGUUUGCCUGACCAACUCUCUGGUUAGCUAAUUACCAAAAUCGGUCUCACCGAGUUUGUGUAAUCGGUCUCACCGAGAUUACGUUAUGCCCUAACCCUAACCGAAUCGGUCCUACUGAGUUGCAUUUCGGUCCCACCGAAAACCCUAACGGUCACAUUAUUUGCUAAAUCGGUCUGACUGAGUUUAACGAUUCGGUCCCACCGAGUUUGGUAGAUUGUGUGUAACAGUUAGAUUUUGUGUGGAGGCUAUUGAAGGAAAUAUACCCUAGAGGCAAUAAUAAAGUUAUUAUUUAUUUCCUUAUAUCAUGAUAAAUGUUUAUUAUUCAUGCUAGAAUUGUAUUAACCGGAAACAUAAUACAUGUGUGAAUACAUAGACAAACAGAGUGUCACUAGUAUGCCUCUACUUGACUAGCUCGUUAAUCAAAGAUGGUUAUGUUUCCUAACCAUGGACAAAGAGUUGUUAUUUGAUUAACGGGAUCACAUCAUUAGGAGAAUGAUGUGAUUGACUUGACCCAUUCCGUUAGCUUAGCACUUGAUCGUUUAAGUAUUUUGCUAUUGCUUUCUUCAUGACUUAUACAUGUUCCUGUAACUAUGAGAUUAUGCAACUCCCGUUUAUCAGAGGAACACUUUGGGUGCUACCAAACGUCACAACGUAACUGGGUGAUUAUAAAGGAGUACUACAGGUGUCUCCAAAGGUACAUGUUGGGUUGGCGUAUUUCGAGAUUAGGUUUUGUCACUCCGAUUGUCGGAGAGGUAUCUCUGGGCCCUCUCGGUAAUACACAUCACUUAAGCCUUGCAAGCAUUACAACUAAUGAGUUAGUUGUGAGAUGAUGUAUUACGGAACGAGUAAAGAGACUUGUCGGUAACGAGAUUAAACUAGGUAUUGAGAUACCGACGAUCGAAUCUCGGGCAAGUAACAUACCGAUGACAAAGGGAACAACGUAUGUUGUUAUGCGGUCUGACCGAUAAAGAUCUUCAUAGAAUAUGUGGGAGCCAAUAUGAGCAUCCAGGUUCCGCUAUUGGUUAUUGAUCGGAAACGUGUUUCAGUCAUGUCUACAUUGUUCUCGAACCCGUAGGGUCCGCACGCUUAAGGUUUCGAUGACAGUUAUAUUAUGAGUUUACAUGUUUUGAUGUACCGAAGGAGUUCGGAGUCCCAGAUGAGAUCGGGGACAUGACGAGGAGUCUCGAAAUGGUCGAGACGUAAAGAUUCAUAUAUUGGAUGAUAUGGUUAGGCCAAGGGGUCAAGCCCAUGAGGCUUUAGGUCGGUGCAAAAGGAGUUUUGCAGAGGCCAGGGGGCCAAACGCCGGAGACCCUGGCGUCUGGCCCUGGGCCAGACGCCGAGGCCCAUGGCGUCUGGGCCAGACGCCAAGGGUUGUGGCGUUUGGUCCUGGAGUCCGAGUGGGACUCUUGCCUUUCGGGCAAAACCGACUUUGAGGAGGCUUUUGCUCCAAGUUUCGACCCCAGGGCUCAACAUAUAAAUAGAGGGGCAGGGCUAGCACCAAAGACACAACAAUUGAUCCCUUGGAUCUCUUAGCCGUGUGCGGUGCCCCCCUCCACCAUAGUCCACCUCGAUAAUAUUGUAGCGGUGCUUAGGCAAAGCCCUGCGACGGUAGAACAUCAAGAUCGUCACCACGCCGUCGUGCUGACGGAACUCUCCCUCGACACUCGGCUGGAUCGGAGUUCGAGGGACGUCAUCGAGCUGAACGUGUGCAAGAACUCGAAGGUGCCGUAGUUUCGGUGCUUGAUCGGUCGGGCCAUGAAGACGUACGACUACAUCAACCGCGUUGUGCUAACGCUUCCGCUUAUGGUCUACAAGGGUAUGUAGACAACACUCUCCCCUCUCGUUGCUAUGCAUCACCAUGAUCUUGCGUGUGUGUAGGAAAUUUUUGAAAUUACUACGUUCCCCAACAGUGGCAUCCGAGCCUAGGUUUUAUGCCUUGAUGUUAUAUGCACGAGUAGAACACAAGUGAGUUGUGGGCGAUACAAGUCAUACUGCUUACCAGCAUGUCAUACUUUGGUUCGGCGGUAUUGUGAGAUGAAGCGGCCCGGACCGACAUUACGCGUACGCUUACGCGAGACUGGUUUCACCGUUACGAGCACUCGUGCUUAAAGGUGGCUGGCGGGUGUCUAUCUCUCUCACUUUAGCUGAAUCGAGUGUGGCUAUGCCCGGUCCUUGCGAAGGUUAAAACAGCACUAACUUGACGAACUAUCGUUGUGGUUUUGAUGCAUAGGUAAGAACGGUUCUUGCUAAGCCCGUAGCAGCCACAUAAAAUUUGCAACAACAAAGUAGAGGACGUCUAACUUGUUUUUGCAGGGCAUGUUGUGAUGUGUUAUGGUCAAGACGUGAUGCUAUAUUUUAUUGUAUGAGAUGAUCAUGUUUUGUAACCGAAGUUAUCGGCAACUGGCAGGAGCCAUAUGGUUGUCGCUUUAUUGUAUGAAAUGCAAACGCCCUGUAAUUGCUUUACUUUAUCACUAAGCGGUAGCGAUAGUCGUAGAAGCAAUAGAUGGCAUAACGACAACGAUGCUACGAUGGAGAUCAAGGUGUCGCGCCGGUGACGAUGGUGAUCACGACGGUGCUUCGAAGAUGGAGAUCACAAGCACAAGAUGAUGAUGGCCAUAUCAUAUCACUUAUAUUGAUUGCAUGUGAUGUUUAUCCUUUAUGCAUCUUAUCUUGCUUUGAUUGACGGUAGCUUUUUAAGAUGAUCUCUCACUAAUUAUCAAGAAGUGUUCUCCCUGAGUAUGCACCGUUGCGAAAGUUCUUCGUGCUGAGACACCAUGUGAUGAUCGGGUGUGAUAGGCUCUACGUUCAAAUACAGCGGGUGCAAAACAGUUGCACACGCGGAAUACUCGGGUUAAACUUGACGAGCCUAGCAUAUACAGAUAUGGCCUCGGAACACGGAGACCGAAAGGUCGAGCGUGAAUCAUAUAGUAGAUAUGAUCAACAUAAUGAUGUUCACCAUUGAAACUACUCCAUCUCACGUGAUGAUCGGACAUGGUUUAGUUGAUUUGGAUCACGUGAUCACUUAGAUGACUAGAGAGAUGUCUGUCUAAGUGGGAGUUCUUAAGUAAUAUGAUUAAUUGAACUUUAAUUUAUCAUGAACUUAGUCCUGGUAGUAUUUUGCAAAUUAUGUUGUAGAUCAAUAGCUUGCGUUGCUGCUUUCAUAUGUUUAUUUUGAUAUGUUCCUAGAGAAAAUUGUGUUGAAAGAUGUUAGUAGAAAUGAUGCGGAUUGGAUCCGUGAUCUGAGGUUUAUCCUCAUUGCUACACAGAAGAAUUAUGUCCUUAAUGCACCGCUAGGUGACAGACCUAUUGCAGGAGCAGAUGCAGACGUUAUGAACGUUUGGCUAGCUCAAUAUGAUGACUACUUGAUAGUUUAGUGCACCAUGCUUAACGGCUUAGAAUCGGGGCUUCAAAGAUGUUUUGAACAUCAUGGACCAUAUGAGAUGUUCCACGAGUUGAAGUUAAUAUUUCAAGCAAAUACCCGAGUUGAGAGAUAUGAAGUCUCCAACAAGUUCUAUAGCUAAAAGAUGGAGGAGAAUCGCUCAACUAGUGAGCAUGUGCUCAGAUUGUCUGGGUACUACAAUCGCUUGAAUCAAGUGGGAGUUAAUCUUCCAGAUAAGAUAGUGAUUGACAGAAUUCUCUAGUCACCAUCACCAAGUUAGUAGAACUUCGUGAUGAACUAUAGUAUGCAAGGGAUGACGAAAACGAUUCCCAAGCUCUUCGUGAUGCUGAAAUCGAUGAAGGUAGAAAUCAAGAAAAGCAUCAAGUGUUGAUGGUUGACAAGACCACUAGUUUCAAGAAAAGGGCAAAGGGAAGAAGUGGAACUUCAAGAAGAACGGCAAGCAAGUUGCUGCUCAAGUGAAGAAGCCCAAGUCUGGUCCUAAACCUGAGACUAAGUGCUUCUACUGGAAAAGGACUAGUCACUGGAAGUGGAACUGCCCCAUGUAUUUGGCGGAUAAGAAGGAUGGCAAAAGUGAACAAAGGUAUAUUGGAUAUACAUGUUAUUGAUGUGUACUUUACUAGUGUUUAUAGCAACCCCUCGGCAUUUUAAUACUGGUCCAGUUGCUAAGAGUAGUAACUCGAAACGGGAGUUGCAGAAUAAACAGAAAAUAGUAAAAAGGUGAGGUGACGAUGUGUGUUGGAAGUAGUUCCAAGAUUGAUAUGAUCAUCAUCGCACACUCCCUAUACUUUCGGGAUUAGUGUUGAAACUAAAUAAGUGUUAUUUGGUGUUUGCGUUGAGCAUGAAUAUGAUUUGAUCAUGUUUACUGCAAUACGGUUAUUCAUUUAAGUAAGAGAAUAAAUCGUUGUUCUGUUUACAUGAAUAAAACCUUAUAUGGUUACACACCCAAUGAAAAUGGUUCGUUGGAUCUCGAUCGUAGUGAUACACAUAUUCAUAAUAUUGAAACCAAAAGAUGCAAAGUUAAUAAUGAUAGUGCAACUUAUUUGUGGCACUGCAGUUUAGGUCAUAUUGGUGUAAAGCGCAUGAAGAAACUCCAUGCUGAUGGGAUUUUGGAAUCACUUGAUUAUGAAUCACUUGAUGCUUGCGAACCAUGCCUUAUGGGAAAGAUGACUAAAGACUCCAUUCUCCGGAACAAUAGAGCGAGCAACUGACUUAUUGGAAAUAAUACAUACUGAUGUAUGCGAUCCGAUGAGUGUUGAGGCUCACAGCAAGUAUCAUUAUUUUCUGACCUUCACAGAUGAUUUGAGCAGAUAUGGGUAUAUCUACUUAAUGAAACAUAAGUCUGAAACGUUUGAAAAGUUCAAAGAAUUUCAGAGUGAAGUUGAAAAUCAUCGUAACAAGAAAAUAAAAUUUCUACGAUCUGAUCGUGGAGGAGAAUAUUUGAGUUACGAGUUUGGUCUACAUUUGAAACAAUGCGGAAUAGUUUCGCAACUCACGCCACCCGGAACACCACAGCGUAAUGGUGUGUCCGAACGUCAUAACCAUACUUUAUUGGAUAUUGUACAAUCUAUGAUGUUUCUUACCGAUUUACCACUAUCGUUUUGGGGUCAUGCAUUAAAGACAGCUGCAUUCACGUUAAAAAGGGGCACCACCUAAGUCCGUUGAGACGACACAAUAUGAACUGUGGUUUGGCAAGAAACCAAAGUUGUUGUUUCUUAAAGUUUGGAGUUGCGAUGCUUAUGUGAAAAAGUUUCAUCCUGAUAAGCUCAAACCCAAAUCGGAGAAAUGUGUCUUCAUAGGAUACCCAAAGGAGAAAGUUGGGUACACCUUCUAUCACAGAUUUGAAGGCAAGACAUUCGUUGCUAAGAAUGGAUCCUUUCUAGAGAAAGGAGUUUCUCUCGAAAGAAGUGAGUGGGAGGAAAGUAGAAUUUGAUAAGGUAAUUGUACCUUCUCCCUUAUUGGAAAGUAGUUCAUCACAGAAAUAUGUUCCUGUGACUACUACACCAAUUAGUGAGGAAGCUAAUGAUGAUGAUCAUGUAACUUCAGAUCAAGUUACUACCGAAUCUCGUAGGUAAACCAGAGUAAGAUCCGCACCGGAGUGGUACAGCAAUCCUGUUCUGGAAGUCAUGCUACUAGAUCAUGAUGAACCUACGAACUAUGAAGAAGCGAUGGUGAGCCCAGAUUCCGCACAAUGGCUUGAGGCCAUGAAAUCUGAGAUGGGAUCCAUGUAUGAGAACAAAGUAUGGACUUUGGUUGACUUGCCCGAUGAUCAGCAAGCCAUUGAGAUUAAAUGGAUUUUUAAGAGGAAGACGGACGCUGAUAGUAGUGUUACUAUCUACAAAGCUAGACUUGUCGAAAAAGGUUUUUGACAAAGUUCAAGGUGUUGACUACGAUGAGAUUUUCUCACUCGUAUCGAUGCUUAAAGUCUGUCCGAAUCAUGUUAGCAAUUGCCGCAUUUUAUGAAAUCUGGCAAAUGGAUAACAAAACUGCAAUCCUUAAUGGAUUUAUUAAAAAAGAGUUGUAUAUGAUGCAGCCAGAAGGUUUUGUCAAUCCUAAAGGUGUUAACAAAAUGUACAAGCUCCAGCGAUCCAUCUAUGGACUGGUGCAAGCAUCUUGGAGUUGGAAUAUAUGCUUUGAUGAGUUGGUCAAAGCAUAUAGUUUUAUACAGACUUGCGGUGAAGCCUGUAUUUACAAGAAAGUGAGUGGGAGCACUACAUCAUUUCUGAUAAGUAUAUGUGAAUGACAUAUUGUUGAUCGGAAAUAAUGUAGAAUUAUUCUGCAAAGCAUAAAGGAGUGUUUGAAAGGAGUUUUUUCAAAGAAAGACCUCGGAGAAGCUGCUUACAUAUUGAGCAUCAAGAUCUAUAGAGAUAGAUCAAGACGCUUGAUAAGUUUUUCAAUAAGUACAUACCUUGACAAGAUUUUGAAGUAGCUCAAAAUGGAACAGUCAAAGAAAGAGUUCUUGCCUGUGUUACAAGGUGUAAAUUGAGUAAGACUCAAAACUCGACCACGGCAGAAGAUAGAAAGAGAAUGAAAGUCAUUCCCUAUGCCUCAACCAUAGGUUCUAUAAAGUAUGCCAUGCUGUGUACCAGAUCUAUUGUAUACCCUACACUGUGUUAAGCAAGGGAGUACAAUAGUGAUCUAAGAGUAGAUCACUGGACAACGGUCAAAAUUAUCCUUAGUGGAAUAAGGAAAUAUUUCUCGAUUAUGGAGGUGAAAAAAAAGG